UGUUUUGUCUAAAAUAUGCAAAAGAACUGCACUAUAAAUACAUAUUACUCAAGGAAAAUUACUUCAGCCGGUGAUUUAUUGAUCUGUUGAAGUGCCUUGAUGAUGCAGCCUCCAACUGCAUCUUAUACGGAGAGACUGAACAUUACAAAAACUUUUUAGAAAUCAUUCUCUCUUUCAUGCCAUACAUUAAGGAGCUUUUCACUCUUCAAAACCUACUGGAAUUGUUUGGUAGAUCAGAACCACAUUAUAUACUUCAGGCAAGCUUUAUCAACUUUCUUUUCGAUACUAUUGGAGAAUUACUUAGUUGUGAAACAUAUUACAGUGUUCUUGUGAGUAAUCAAGUCAAAGUCCUUAGGAAGGAGCUAAAACUUCUGCUCACUUUUUUUGUUGAUGCAAUGCAAUGCAUUAGUGAAAUAACUUC
rnacentral:lncRNA from 1 species